UUUUGAAACCCUAACUCCUCCCAAAUCCCCUCCAGCGCCGCUCCCCCCUUCUACUCUCUCCACGAUCCCCUCCCCUUCCCUCCCACCCCACCUUGUCGAGCCUUGAUCUGGCCGGAUCUUGCCAAUCCACAAACGGAUCUGGCCUAACCAUCCCGCAGCUGCGCCGGCGGGCCACCAGGACGGCGGCGAGAACCACCAACCCAUCUUGAGACCUCAACGACGGCGGGUACCAAGAAUCGAUGCUGCACCAACCGCGCGCGUCACAAGGAGGGUGGGUGUGGUUGCUGCCGGAGCAGUGAACUCUGCGCUUGGCGCUGGACCAGCGGGGGCUGGGUUGGCCGUGACGCUUGAUUGGGUCGUUUCCAACUGCCCCGGCGUCGGCGGCGACGAGACGGUGCUGCCUCACUGUCGUCAUCGCUUUUGAUUUCAGCAUCGGCCGGUGCCAGCGUCCAUGACAUAAUUUAUCAAUGGUGGGUUCAGUAGUAACUCAAAUCUGUUGCUUUGUAUGUGCCAGCGUGUGAUGGAAUUUAUCAUUGGUGGGUCUGGUAGUAACUCAAAUCUGCUGCUAUGUUGUUUUCAGCCUGCUGCUGAGCUCUCUUUACUUUGGGCACUGUUUACCAGCAUCUCAAUCCCGACCUAGCAGGUCUGCUUACCAGCAUCAACAUAUGGAACAUGCACAUUAACUCGUUGACAAGUUUGGUCCAAACAAUAUGGAACAUGGAGGGUGUCUUGUCCUGAGACCUGAGCCAUUCACAUGAUAUUCUAAAAUCCAGAAGAACUAGCUACUCAUAAGUGGAUGACAGUGAACAUGAGAAGCUAUGGUUUCCUGAUUUGUUGUUAUGUGUAGUGUUGUCAUGAAGCAUAGUGGUUCUGGCUUUGUGUAAAAUCAUUAUAAGUAUUGUACCUCUUUAGAGGAGUUCAACGUUGAACUAUGUAUGUGAUUCAUGUACCUGAUGUAUCCACUAUGAUGCCUAUUGCUGAAACGAAUAUAACAAUUUACUGAUAA